rnacentral:piRNA from 1 species
UAAAAACCAGAAGGUCAGAAGGAUCGUGA